CGUGGAGUAGAUCAGUGGCAGAUCACCCGGCUUCUCACCGGGCGGGCGCGGGUUCGAAUCCCGCCUCCACGUC
rnacentral:tRNA from 1 species